rnacentral:rRNA from 1 species
UCUACGGGAGGCAGCAGUGGGGGAUAUUGCACAAUGGGCGAAAGCCUGAUGCAGCGACGCCGCGUGAGGGAUGACGGCCUUCGGGUUGUAAACCUCUUUCAGCAGGGAAGAAGCGAAAGUGACGGUACCUGCAGAAGAAGCGCCGGCUAACUACGUGCCAGCAGCCGCGGUAAUACGUAGGGCGCAAGCGUUGUCCGGAAUUAUUGGGCGUAAAGAGCUCGUAGGCGGCUUGUCACGUCGGAUGUGAAAGCCCGGGGCUUAACCCCGGGUCUGCAUUCGAUACGGGCUAGCUAGAGUGUGGUAGGAGAGAUCGGAAUUCCUGGUGUAGCGGUGAAAUGCGCAGAUAUCAGGAGGAACACCGGUGGCGAAGGCGGAUCUCUGGGCCAUUACUGACGCUGAGGAGCGAAAGCGUGGGGAGCGAACAGGAUUAGAUACCCUGGUAGUCCACGCCGUAAACGUUGGGAACUAGGUGUUGGCGACAUUCCACGUCGUCGGUGCCGCAGCUAACGCAUUAAGUUCCCCGCCUGGGGAGUACGGCCGCAAGGCUAAAACUCAAAGGAAUUGACGGA